rnacentral:rRNA from 1 species
GCUGGCGGCGUGCUUAACACAUGCAAGUCGAACGAUGAAGCCCAGCUUGCUGGGUGGAUUAGUGGCGAACGGGUGAGUAACACGUGAGUAACCUGCCCCUGACUCUGGGAUAAGCCCGCGGAAACUGGGUCUAAUACCGGAUAUGACUUUUGACCGCAUGGUUGAGGGUGGAAAGAUUUAUCGGUUGGGGAUGGACUCGCGGCCUAUCACCUUGUUGGUGAGGUAAUGGCUCACCAAGGCGACGACGGGUAGCCGGCCUGAGAGGGUGACCGGCCACUAUGGGACUGAGACACGGCCCAGACUCCUACGGGAGGCAGCAGUGGGGAAUAUUGCACAAUGGGCGCAAGCCUGAUGCAGCGACGCCGCGUGAGGGAUGACGGCCUUCGGGUUGUAAACCUCUUUCAGUAGGGAAGAAGCGAAAGUGACGGUACCUGCAGAAGAAGCGCCGGCUAACUACGUGCCAGCAGCCGCGGUAAUACGUAGGGCGCAAGCGUUAUCCGGAUUUAUUGGGCGUAAAGAGCUCGUAGGCGGUUUGUCGCGUCUAUCGUGAAAGUCCGAGGCUCAACCUCGGAUCUGCGGUGGGUACGGGCAGACUAGAGUGAUGUAGGGGAGACUGGAAUUCCUGGUGUAGCGGUGAAAUGCGCAGAUAUCAGGAUGAACACCGAUGGCGAAGGCAGGUCUCUGGGCAUUUACUGACGCUGAGGAGCGAAAGCAUGGGGAGCGAACAGGAUUAGAUACCCUGGUAGUCCAUGCCGUAAACGUUGGGCACUAGGUGUGGGGGACAUUCCACGUUUUCCGCGCCGUAGCUAACGCAUUAAGUGCCCCGCCUGGGGAGUACGGCCGCAAGGCCAAACUCAAAGGAAUUGACGGGGGCCCGCACAAGCGGCGGAGCAUGCGGAUUAAUUCGAUGCAACGCGAAGAACCUUACCAAGGCUUGACAUGUUCCAGAUCGCCUCAGAGAUGGGGUUUCCCUUCGGGGCUGGUUCACAGGUGGUGCAUGGUUGUCGUCAGCUCGUGUCGUGAGAUGUUGGGUUAAGUCCCGCAACGAGCGCAACCCUCGUUCCAUGUUGCCAGCGGGUUAUCCCGGGGACUCACGGGAGACUGCCGGGGUCAACUCGGAGGAAGGUGGGGAUGACGUCAAAUCAUCAUCCCCCUUAUCUCUUGGGCUUCACGCAUGCUACAAUGGCCGGUACAAUGGGUUGCGAUACUGUGACGUGGAGCUAAUCCCUAUAAGCCGGUGUCAGUUCGGAUUGGGGUCUGCAACUCGACCCCACGAACUCGGAGUCGCUAGUAAUCGCAGAUCAGCAACGCUGCGGUGAAUACGUUCCCGGGCCUGGCACACACCGCCCGUCAAGUCACGCAAGUUGGUAACACC